CUUUUCUCUUCUCGCCUGGAAUUUAGUCAUGAAGUCUAGACUACAAUGGCCAUAUUGUGACCAAGAAGUUAGAAAUAUGGUAUGAGGAAAAGGCAAGACAACCCCAGAGAUGAGCCCUGAUUUCAAGUGGCCACUGAACCAAUACCAACAGCCAUCUACAACCAGGACUCCAUCUUCACCUCUUCUUCAGUCCUUUCUCUUGGAUGAAGUUCUCAGCAUCUCUCUGUGGGCCUGUGAAAGUGCGGAUACCAUCCAGGAUACCUGACCAGUUUCUACAACCAGACAUAUUCCUAGAUUCUCCUGUAGUUCUUAACUAGGAUCAAUCCACAGCUCUCUAGGCUGGGACCUGGUGGAAUGUAAGCUCCAUCAGGGAAGGGUCUUUUACUGAGCGUUUAUCACUGUAUUCCUAACACAUAGCACAAGCCUGUCACAUAGCAGGAGUUUAAUAAAUAUUUAUUAAAUGAAUAAUUGAA